GUGAAUAGACUUAUUUGUAAGUCUACAACGAUUCUUUUUUUUCUUUAUUGUUAUAAUACUUGUCGAGUAUGAUUUAUUAAAAUGUUUUUUUUUUGUUUUCUUAGUAGUUAUAAUAUAUGAUUUCAGAUUUGUAUUCGUAAAGAGCUAAAUUUAUUACAAAAAUAAUAUUUGUUUGUAAACACUAAUUUAAGUAGACUAAAAAAGAUGUCUACAAUUCAGUAGACUUUAUUGUAGAAUUACUAUACCCUAAACCACAAAUCUCAUACCCUAAAUUUAGCUUUAUAAUCAAAAUAUUUAAUAUAUAAGCUACUCAACAUUAAUAUUAAAAUUUAAUUCAAUAAACCAAAUAAAAUCUCAAUCUAAAAUUUAACCCUAACAAUCUAACCCUUAAUAACAUAAUAUCUUAGAACCUUUUGUUGCUAAACCAUAAACAUUGUCUAACACAAAGUUAUCAAAUCAAUAUUU
rnacentral:lncRNA from 1 species